AGUCGUAACAAGGUUUCCGUAGGUGAACCUGCGGAAGGAUCAUUAAAGUGUUUCGGAGCCUGGUCUGAGCGCCUCACCUCGAGGUGUUCGGUGCCAGCGCCCCCACACGUGUUUACUCAACUCGGUUGCCUUGGUGAGCCUGCCUUUUGGGGCUGCCGGGGAUGCUUCGCGGCGUCCCGGGCUCGCGCUCACCAGUGGAACAAUUGAACUCUUUCUGUGAAGAUAGUCAGUCUGAGCAUUAUGCAAAUUAAACAAAACUUUCAACAACGGAUCUCUUGGUUCCGGCAUCGAUGAAGAACGCAGCGAAAUGCGAUAAGUAAUGUGAAUUGCAGAAUUCCGUGAAUCAUCGAAUCUUUGAACGCACAUUGCGCCCUCUGGUAUUCCGGGGGGCAUGCCUGUUCGAGCGUCAUUGCAACCCCUCAAGCACGGCUUGUGAGUUGGGCCAUCGUCCCUCUGUGGACGGGCCUGAAAUGCAGUGGCAGCACCGAGUCCUGGUGUCUGAGUGUAUGGGAAUCUCUAUCGCUCAAAGACCCAAUCGGUGCUGAUGUCAGAUCUUUUAUCCAGUUUUUGACCUCGGAUCAGGUAGGAGUACCCGCUGAACUUAAGCAUAUCAAUAAGCGGAGGAA
rnacentral:misc_RNA from 1 species